rnacentral:rRNA from 1 species
UACGUAGGGGGCAAGCGUUGUCCGGAUUUAUUGGGCGUAAAGAGCGUGUAGGCGGCCAGGUAGGUCCGUUGUGAAAACUGGAGGCUUAACCUCCAGCGGUCGAUGGAAACCAUCUGGCUAGAGUCCGGAAGAGGAGAGUGGAAUUCCUGGUGUAGCGGUGAAAUGCGCAGAUAUCAGGAAGAACACCUAUGGCGAAGGCAGCUCGCUGGGACGUUACUGACGCUGAGACGCGAAAGCGUGGGGAGCAAACAGG